ACUUGUUUUUAACAUUCAGUUCAACAUGUCUAGGUAUCUAAUAUAUGCCAGACUCUAGGGAUAAAAAGAUUAAAAACAGCAAUCCUGGCCCUCAAAAAGCUUAUAGGGAGCAACUUGGUUGGAUACAACAUGUCCAGAGGGAAUUCUCCCUAGAGCAAUGGGGAGGAAGGAGAACGGUAUAUCUGGAAAUAACUGGCAACAGUAAAGAGACAACUGGCAUGAAAGGUUUCAGAGACAAGGAUGGUGAAGAUAAUUUCUGCUGUGAUCAUCAUGCUAUUCUUCCUUCAAGCAGAUGGCACGGAAAUAAUAUGCAGAUACUGCAAUCUCUCACUCCCCUUCCAUGGCUGCCUUUUGGAUGGUGGUACCUGCAGAGUCAACCCCGGUCAAUAUUGUAAACUUGAGUACCACGAGCAAGGUGGUGUGGAGUGGUUCUCAGUCAAAGGCUGUACUACUGCCAAAGAGAUAUGCCAUUCAAAGAGAAUAAUCAGCAAUACCGUUCAUCUCACCCAAUGCUGCUACCAAGACAUGUGCAACCUCUGAACCAGAAUCCCCAACUAGAUGAUUUGGGUCAUAGAAGGGAUAUGAUGCCAAUUUACAAGCAGCCUAGCAUUAGGAGAGCAAUGUAUAUAUAUUUUCCCUGGGAUGAAUCGAAGACAAUCGAGUGGUUGAUUACAGGACCUGGUAAAUUGUAGAGCACCUGAUGUCACCAUAUUUCCCUCUUCUCAUCCUAUGGAAUAGUGGGCUUGGGGAGGGGGGCAGGAAAGGAAUGUGGCCAGAGGCUGGCAACACAUUCUUACUCCCAAAGCUUUCUUCAGCCACUCUCCUCACUCCACUUAAAGACACCCAUUGGCAUCCUUAUUACUUCCCCAAGUGAUUCUAAGGCUUUAGUGAAAGAAAAAAAAAAACAAAACAAUAGCUCCUAUAUAACCCAACUCCAUCCCUAAAAAGGUGGGAGACUCCCAUCUAAAUGACUAGCAUUGGUACAGAUUGGUAUCCUACCACAUAUUAUCCAAAAUCCAACGUCAUAUUCCCCUGGUUUCUUCUUUCACAUUCAAGACAGUUCUAAUAGUGGCAUACUGCAUGCAUAUUAGUAUCCUGAAAGUGUUAAAUUGGUUUCCAAAGUGACCUAUUUAUUUCUCCUGAAUAGUUUGUACACUGAAGGAGUCUUGACGUCUUGAAUAUUCCCCAAAAGAAUAAAACAAGUAUAAGAAAAGCCAAACUUAUGGACACUAGGAGACAAAACUUUAGGAUAGAGAAUUGUCACUUGCAAACAUGGCUUCUCCCAAUGACAAAACAAAGGCAAGAUUUGCCUUUACUUCUACAGUGGGAGUCCUAAACACACAGCAUUUACAUAAAGGUAGGCUAGUUAGGCCAUUCAAAUGAAACCCCUACCUAGAAGAAGCAGAUGAGGAUCGGGCCUGAGAAUUUCACAGUUUUUUGAUAAUACAGGUCAGAGCACUGCUUUUGUUUAGUGUUUUAUGAAUAAUGCUGUGGGGUGGGGGCGAUAGUAUAUUUUAGUAUUUAGUUUCACAUUGUUUUCUUCUGAUGUAGAUU